rnacentral:tRNA from 1 species
AUUUAAAUAGUUUAUUAAAAAUAUUGAUCUGUGGAGUCAAAGAUAUAUUAUUUAUAAUAUUUUAGAUA